rnacentral:rRNA from 1 species
GAUGAACGCUAGCUACAGGCUUAACACAUGCAAGUCGAGGGACCGGCGCACGGGAGAGUUACACGUAACCAUCCUGUCCUUUAGUCGGUGACCACCUGUAGAAAGAGAGAUUAAUACCUGAUAUAAAGGGGGGGGAUGCGUUCCAUUUGGUUGUUGGUGAGGUAACGGCCCACCAAGACUUCGAUGGCUGUGGGUUCUGAGAGGAAGGUCCCCCACAUUGGAGCUGAGACCCAGUCCAAAAUCCUACGGGAGGCAGCAGUGAGGAACAUUAGGCAAUGGGCGCUAGCCUGAACCAGCCAAGUAGCGUGAAGGAUGAAGGCUUAUGGGUCGUCAACUUCUUGUAUAUAAGAAUCGGUAUUAUAUGAAUAAGGAUCGGCUAACUCCGUGCCAGCCGCCGCGGUAAUUC